GUUUCACCAUGUUGGUCAGGCUGGUCUCGAACUCCUGACCUCAUGAUCUACCCGCUUUGGCCUCCCAAAGUGCUGGGAUUAUAGGUGUAAGCCACAGCGCCCAGCCAGGGCCCAUGUUUUUAAAUUUUUUAAGGAGCUUGUUGAGGUCUGCAAAAGCUUCUGCUAAACCUUUCACUGUGAAUUUUCUUGGAGGUUCUUCCUUUUUGUCUCCUGCAGUUUCCUUUUCUCUUGCACCUUCUUCAGCUGCGUGUUCCUGUUCCAGUUCCAACAGCUCAUUAGUCAAUUCCUCAGGAACCACAUCUAGGAGCUUCUCAAUGUCAUCCUCAUCUACAUCUAGGUUAAAGUUGUUUGCCAUGUCAACCACAGCCUUGUCCAUUUCUGCAACCUCUUCAUCCUUAGCAGAUUCUUUGAAGUCAUGAACAAACUUCUUCAGUGUCUUCUAGAUGUCAUUCACAUACUCCUUGGUGACAUCAGUCCAUGCCCAAGCAAGGUUCUUGAUGCAGUCAUAGCUGUUGUAAACCUUCCAGAAUUGCAUCAGUGUCCUCUCGGUGUUUUUCAGUUGCAGCAAUAGCCUGGGCAAAGAUCCUCCUUAGGAUCUUUUAAUAGGCCUUAAAAACUGCUACAACUCCUUGAUUCAUUGGUUGGAUCAAAGAGGUGGUAUAUGGAAGGAGACACAACACUUUGAUAUUGGGAUGAAGAUCACCAAUGAAAUGAGGAUGUGUGGGAGCAUUAUCAACAAAAA
rnacentral:lncRNA from 1 species